rnacentral:rRNA from 1 species
UGGGGAAUCUUAGACAAUGGGGGAAACCCUGAUCUAGCCAUGCUGCGUGAGUGACGAAGGCCUUAGGGUCGUAAAGCUCUUUCGCCAGGGAUGAUAAUGACAGUACCUGGUAAAGAAACCCCGGCUAACUCCGUGCCAGCAGCCGCGGUAAUACGGAGGGGGUUAGCGUUGUUCGGAAUUACUGGGCGUAAAGCGCACGUAGGCGGACUAUUAAGUCAGGGGUGAAAUCCCGGGGCUCAACCCCGGAACUGCCUUUGAUACUGGUAGUCUUGAGUUCGAGAGAGGUGAGUGGAAUUCCGAGUGUAGAGGUGAAAUUCGUAGAUAUUGGGAAGAACACCGAUGGCGAAGGCAGCCAUCUGGCCCGGGAUUGACGCUGAGGCGCGAAAGCGUGGGGAGCAAACAGGAUUAGAUACCCCGGUAGUCC